UACCUUUUGUAUAAUGGGUCAGCGACUUAUAUUCUGUAGCAAGGUUAACCGAAUAGGGGAGCCGGAGGGAAACCGAGUCUUAACCGGGCGUUAAGUUGCAGGGUAUAGACCCGAAACCCGGUGAUCUAGCCAUGGGCAGGUUGAAGGUUGGGUAACACUAACUGGAGGACCGAACCGACUAAUGUUGAAAAAUUAGCGGAUGACCUGUGGCUGGGGGUGAAAGGCCAAUCAAACCGGGAGAUAGCUGGUUCUCCCCGAAAGCUAUUUAGGUAGCGCCUCGUGAAUUCAUCUCCGGGGGUAGAGCACUGUUUCGGCUAGGGGGCCAUCCCGGCUUACCAACCCGAUGCAAACUGCGAAUACCGGAGAAUGUUAUCACGGGAGACACACGGCGGGUGCUAACGUCCGUCGUGAAGAGGGAAACAACCCAGACCGCCAGCUAAGGUCCCAAAGUCAUGGUUAAGUGGGAAACGAUGUGGGAAGGCCCAGACAGCCAGGAUGUUGGCUUAGAAGCAGCCAUCAUUUAAAGAAAGCGUAAUAGCUCACUGGUCGAGUCGGCCUGCGCGGAAGAUGUAACGGGGCUAAACCAU
rnacentral:rRNA from 1 species